GACGAACGCUGGCGGCGUGCUUAACACAUGCAAGUCGAACGGAAAGGCCCUGCUUUUGUGGGGUGCUCGAGUGGCGAACGGGUGAGUAACACGUGAGUAACCUGCCCUUGACUUUGGGAUAACUUCAGGAAACUGGGGCUAAUACCGGAUAGGAGCUCCUGCUGCAUGGUGGGGGUUGGAAAGUUUCGGCGGUUGGGGAUGGACUCGCGGCUUAUCAGCUUGUUGGUGGGGUAGUGGCUUACCAAGGCUUUGACGGGUAGCCGGCCUGAGAGGGUGACCGGCCACAUUAGGACUGAGAGACGGCCCAGACGCCAACGGUAGGCAACGGUGGGGAGUAUUGCACAGUGGGCGGGAGCCUGAUACGGCAACGCCGCGUGCGGGAUGACGGCCUGCGGGUUGUGAACCGCUUUCGCCUGUGACGAAGCGUGAGUGACGGUAAUGGGUGAAGAAGCACCGGCUAACUACGUG
rnacentral:rRNA from 1 species